rfam:Nomascus leucogenys chromosome 12, whole genome shotgun sequence.
AUCCUUUUGUAGUUCAUGAGCAUGAUGAUGGGGUGUUCAUGAGCAUGCGUAAAGAUGUGCCACCCUCAAAUCUUGUCAAGAUGUUGGCACAUUACCCAUCUGACA